rnacentral:rRNA from 1 species
GGGAGGGGAGUGAAAUAGAACCUGAAACCGUGUGCCUACAACCGGUCAAAGCCCCUUAUGAGGGUGAUGACGUACUUUUUGUAGAACGGGCCGGCGAGUUACGGUAUGUAGCAAGGUUAAGUACUUAAGGUACGGAGCCGAAGGGAAACCGAGUCUUAAUAGGGCGACUAGUUGCAUGCCGUAGACCCGAAACCGGGUGACCUAUCCAUGGCCAGGUUGAAGCGAGGGUAAAACUUCGUGGAGGACCGAACCACGUUGCUGUUGAAAAAGCAUGGGAUGAGCUGUGGAUAGCGGAGAAAUUCCAAUCGAACUCGGAGAUAGCUGGUUCUCCCCGAAAUAGCUUUAGGGCUAGCGUCGGAUAUGUGUAGUGGAGGUAGAGCACUGAAUGGGCUAGGGGGCAUAUCGCUUACCGAACCUUAUCAAACUCCGAAUGCCAUAUACAUUAAGUCCGGCAGUCAGACUACGAAUGAUAAGAUCCGUGGUCAAAAGGGAAACAGCCCAGACCACCAGCUAAGGUCCCAAAGUGUAAGUUAAGUGGAAAAGGAUGUGGGAUUUCUAAGACAACUAGGAUGUUGGCUUAGAAGCAGCCACUCAUUUAAAGAGUGCGUAAUAGCUCACUAGUCGAGAGAUCCUGCGCCGAAAAUGUACCGGGGCUAAACUUACCACCGAAGCUACGGAUUUGCAAGUAAUUGCAAGUGGUAGGGGAGCGUCGUAAUCGGGCUGAAGUCGUACCGGAAGGAGCGGUGGACUGAUUACGAGUGAGAAUGUUGGCAUUAGUAGCGAGAUGUAGGUGAGAAUCCUACAGGCCGAAUAUCUAAGGUUUCCUCAGGAAGGCUCGUCCGCUGAGGGUUAGUCGGGACCUAAGCCGAGGCCGAAAGGCGUAGGCGAUGGACAAUCGGUUGAUAUUCCGAUACCACUACCAUCGUUAUUAUCGAGGGUGUGACGGAGAAGGAUAGUGUGUGCUAGCGAUUGGAAAUGCUAGUCUAAGCGUUUAGGGAGUUACGGUAGGCAAAUCCGCUGUAACAAUUCUGAGGCGUGAUGGGGAAGGUCAUUAAGACCGAAGUACAUGAUUCCAUGCUUCCAAGAAAAGCAUCUAGAGAGAGAAGUAGUGCCCGUACCGCAAACCGACACAGGUAGAUGAGGAGAGAAUCCUAAGGCCGGCGGAAGAAUUGCAGUUAAGGAACUAGGCAAAUUGACCCCGUAAGUUAGCGAGAAGGGGUGCCUGCGAGAGCAGGCCGCAGAGAAUAGGCCCAAGCAACUGUUUAGCAAAAACACAGGUCUCUGCUAAAGCGUAAGCUGAUGUAUAGGGGCUGACGCCUGCCCGGUGCUGGAAGGUUAAGGGGAACACUUAGCGCAAGCGAAGGUGUGAACUUAAGCCCCAGUAAACGGCGGCCGUAACUAUAACGGUCCUAAGGUAGCGAAAUUCCUUGUCAGGUAAGUUCUGACCCGCACGAAUGGCGUAAUGACUUGGGCACUGUCUCAACUGCAAAUCCGGCGAAAUUGUAGUGCGAGUGAAGAUGCUCGCUACCCGCGAUUGGACGGAAAGACCCCGUAGAGCUUUACUGUAGCUUAGCAUUGAAUUCCGGUAUUGUCUGUACAGGAUAGGUGGGAGACUGGGAAACUAGGGCGUCAGCCUUAGUGGAGUCAACCUUGGGAUACCACCCUGACAGUACUGGGGUUCUAACAGGACGCCAUGAAUCUGGUGACUGGACAUUGUUAGGUGGGCAGUUUGACUGGGGCGGUCGCCUCCCAAAAAGUAACGGAGGCGCCCAAAGGUUCCCUCAGAACGGUCGGAAAUCGUUCGAAGAGUGCAAAGGCAGAAGGGAGCUUGACUGCGAGA